rnacentral:rRNA from 1 species
CUUGCAAACUGGAGAUGGCGACCGGCGCACGGGUGAGUAACACGUAUCCAACCUGCCGAUAACUCGGGGAUAGCCUUUCGAAAGAAAGAUUAAUAUCCGAUAGUAUAUUAAAACCGCAUGGUUUUACUAUUAAAGAAUUUCGGUUAUCGAUGGGGAUGCGUUCCAUUAGUUUGUUGGCGGGGUAACGGCCCACCAAGACUACGAUGGAUAGGGGUUCUGAGAGGAAGGUCCCCCACAUUGGAACUGAGACACGGUCCAA